CUACGGGGUGCUGCAGUGAGGAAUAUUGCACAAUGGGGGGAACCCUGAUGCAGCAACGCCGCGUGGAGGAUGACGCAUUUCGGUGUGUAAACUCCUUUUAUAUGUCAAGAAAAUGACGGUAGCAUAUGAAUAAGCACCGGCUAACUCCGUGCCAGCAGCCGCGGUAAUAGCGGAGGGUGCAAGCGUUACUCGGAAUCACUGGGCGUAAAGGACGCGUAGGCGGGUUGGAAAGUCAGGUGUGAAAUCCUACAGCUUAACUGUAGAACUGCACUUGAAACUUCUAAUCUAGAGUAUGGGAGGGGGAGAUGGAAUUAGUGGUGUAGGGGUAAAAUCCGUAGAUAUCACUAGGAAUACCUAAAGCGAAGGCGAUCUCCUGGAACAUUACUGACGCUAAGGCGUGAAAGCGUGGGGAGCAAACAGGAUUAGAUACCCGUGUAGUC
rnacentral:rRNA from 1 species